AUUGAACGCUGGCGGCAGGCCUAACACAUGCAAGUCGAGCGGAGCGGCGGACGGGUGAGUAAUGACUAGGAAUCUGCCUGGUAGUGGGGGAUAACGUCCGGAAACGGGCGCUAAUACCGCAUACUAUCAGAUGAGCCUAGGUCGGAUUAGCUAGUUGGUUGGGUAAAGCCCUACCAAGGCGACGAUCCGUAACUGGUCUGAGAGGAUGAUCAGACACACUGGAACUGAGACACGGUCAAGACUCCUACGGGAGGCGGAAGGGGGGAAUAUUGGACAAGGGGCGAAAGCCUGAUGCAACCAGGCCGCGGAUGUGAAGAAGGUCUUCGGAUGGUAAAGCACGUUAAGUUGGGAGGCGUUACCAACAGAAUAAGCACCGGCUAACUUCGUGCCAGCAGCCGCGGUAAUAC
rnacentral:rRNA from 1 species